AGAGGCGAUGAAGGACGUGCUAAUCUGCGAUAAGCGCCGGUAAGGUGAUAUGAACCGUUAUAACCGGCGAUUUCCGAAUGGGGAAACCCAGUGUGAUUCGUCACACUAUCAUUAACUGAAUCCAUAGGUUAAUGAGGCGAACCGGGGGAACUGAAACAUCUAAGUACCCCGAGGAAAAGAAAUCAACCGAGAUUCCCCCAGUAGCGGCGAGCGAACGGGGAGGAGCCCAGAGCCUGAAUCAGCAUGUGUGUUAGUGGAAGCGUCUGGAAAGGCGCGCGAUACAGGGUGACAGCCCCGUACACAAAAGCGCAUGUGCUGUGAGCUCGAUGAGUAGGGCGGGACACGUGGUAUCCUGUCUGAAUAUGGGGGGACCAUCCUCCAAGGCUAAAUACUCCUGACUGACCGAUAGUGAACCAGUACCGUGAGGGAAAGGCGAAAAGAACCCCGGCGAGGGGAGUGAAAAAGAACCUGAAACCGUGUACGUACAAGCAGUGGGAGCACAGGUUUACCUGUGUGACUGCGUACCUUUUGUAUAAUGGGUCAGCGACUUAUAUUCUGUAGCAAGGUUAACCGUAUAGGGGAGCCGGAGGGAAACCGAGUCUUAACCGGGCGUUAAGUUGCAGGGUAUAGACCCGAAACCCGGUGAUCUAGCCAUGGGCAGGUUGAAGGUUGGGUAACACUAACUGGAGGACCGAACCGACUAAUGUUGAAAAAUUAGCGGAUGACCUGUGGCUGGGGGUGAAAGGCCAAUCAAACCGGGAGAUAGCUGGUUCUCCCCGAAAGCUAUUUAGGUAGCGCCUCGUGAAUUCAUCUCCGGGGGUAGAGCACUGUUUCGGCUAGGGGGCCAUCCCGGCUUACCAACCCGAUGCAAACUGCGAAUACCGGAGAAUGUUAUCACGGGAGACACACGGCGGGUGCUAACGUCCGUCGUGAAGAGGGAAACAACCCAGACCGCCAGCUAAGGUCCCAAAGUCAUGGUUAAGUGGGAAACGAUGUGGGAAGGCCCAGACAGCCAGGAUGUUGGCUUAGAAGCAGCCAUCAUUUAAAGAAAGCGUAAUAGCUCACUGGUCGAGUCGGCCUGCGCGGAAGAUGUAACGGGGCUAAACCAUGCACCGAAGCUGCGGCAGCGACACUCAGGUGUUGUUGGGUAGGGGAGCGUUCUGUAAGCCUGUGAAGGUGGCCUGUGAGGGUUGCUGGAGGUAUCAGAAGUGCGAAUGCUGACAUAAGUAACGAUAAAGCGGGUGAAAAGCCCGCUCGC
rnacentral:rRNA from 1 species